UACGUAGGUGGCUAGCGUUGUCCGGAUUUACUAGGCGUAAAGAGCGCGCAGGCGGUCGUUCGAGUCGAGUGUGAAAGCCCCCGGCUCAACUGGGGAGGGUCACUCGAUACUGAUCGACUCGAAGGCAGGAGAGGGAAGCGGAAUUCCCGGUGUAGUGGUGAAAUGCGUAGAUAUCGGGAGGAACACCAGUGGCGAAGGCGGCUUUCUGGCCUGUUCUUGACGCUGAGGCGCGAAAGCGUGGGGAGCAAACGGG
rnacentral:rRNA from 1 species